UCUAGUAGCUGGUUCCCUCCGAAAUUUCCCUCAGGAUAGCUGCGAUCGGAGUUCAAUUUUAUCAGGUAAAGCGAAUGAUUCGAGGCAUUGGGGGUAUGUUACCCUUGACCCACUCUCAAACUUUUAAUGGGUAAGCUCCACUGGUUGCUUAGGUGACGCAGGGGGAGGAAUAACAGCUCUACGUGGGCCAUUUUUGGUAAGCAGAA
rnacentral:rRNA from 1 species